rnacentral:tRNA from 1 species
ACCUGAAUGGCUCAGUCAGUGAAGCAUCUAACUUCAGCUCAGGUCGUGAUCUAACAGUUCGUGAGUUCGAGUCCCACUUUGGGUG